GACACUUUGGCCGAGCGGUUAAGGCGCAGGCCUGCUACUACGUUUUCACUGUAAUAGCUGAUUAGCCUGUGGGUUCGCCCUCCUGGGUUCGAAUCCCAGAGGUGUCG